rnacentral:rRNA from 1 species
UCCCAGACUCCUACGGGAGGCAGCAGUGGGGAAUAUUGGACAAUGGGGGGAACCCUGAUCCAGCGACGCCGCGUGAGUGAAGAAGUAUUUUGGUAUGUAAAGCUCUAUCAGCAGGGAAGAAAGAAAUGACGGUACCUGACUAAGAAGCCCCGGCUAACUACGUGCCAGCAGCCGCGGUAAUACGUAGGGGGCAAGCGUUAUCCGGAUUUACUGGGUGUAAAGGGAGCGUAGACGGCGGCGCAAGUCCGGAGUGAAAGCCCACGGCCCAACCGUGGGACUGCUCUGGAAACUGUGCGGCUUGAGUGCGGGAGGGGCAGGCGGAAUUCCUAGUGUAGCGGUGAAAUGCGUAGAUAUUAGGAGGAACACCAGUGGCGAAGGCGGCUUUCUGGACUGUAACUGACACUGAGGUACGAAAGCGUGGGGAGCAAACAGGAUUAGAUACCCGUGUAGUA